UACAGAGGUCCCAAGCGUUGUUCGGAUUCAUUGGGCGUAAAGGGUGUGUAGGUGGCGCCGUAAGUCGGGUGUGAAAUCUCGGGGCUUAACUCCGAAACUGCACUCGAUACUGCGGUGCUUGAGGACUGGAGAGGAGACUGGAAUUCAUGGUGUAGCAGUGAAAUGCGUAGAGAUCAUGAGGAAGACCAGUGGCGAAGGCGGGCCUCUGGACAGUUCCUGACACUGAGACACGAAGGCCAGGGGAGCAAACGGG
rnacentral:rRNA from 1 species